rnacentral:rRNA from 1 species
GAUGAACGCUGGCGGCGUGCCUAAUACAUGCAAGUCGAGCGAACAGACGAGGAGCUUGCUCCUCUGACGUUAGCGGCGGACGGGUGAGUAACACGUGGAUAACCUACCUAUAAGACUGGGAUAACUUCGGGAUACCGGAGCUAAUACCGGAUAAUAUAUUGAACCGCAUGGUUCAAUAGUGAAAGACGGUUUUGCUGUCACUUAUAGAUGGAUCCGCGCCGCAUUAGCUAGUUGGUAAGGUAACGGCUUACCAAGGCGACGAUGCGUAGCCGACCUGAGAGGGGGAGAGGAAACAAGGGAAGUGAGAAAGGGACCAGACUACGACGGGAGGAAGCAGGAGGGAAUCUUCCGAAAUGGGCGAAAGCGGGACGGAGCAAAGUGGGGGGAGGGAUGAAGGUGUAAGGAUCGUAAAACUAUGUUAUAAUGGAAGAACAAAUGUGUAAGGACCGAUGCAGGUCUUGAGGGUACCUAAUCAGAAAGCCAGGGCUAACUACGGG